rnacentral:lncRNA from 1 species
CUCUUGAGGUAAUAAUAGGGAAGUAGAAUUAUCUUAAUUACCAAGUAAUUUCAAGUCCUAUUUUUGUUAAUCAUGUUUAUCCAAAUUAAACUCUUCCAGCGGAGUUGAUUUAAUCUUAUUAACUCUAAACCCCAAACCAAUUGAAGCUUAAAGGGCUCCAGGUUUGUUUACCCAUCAUUCUAACCCAAACCUCCGACACGUUAAGU